UUCACAAGGGGUGAUUCAACAAUUUCUCAACAUGGGCCUGACGUCAGGGACCAGCUGUGGCACCGCAUAGGCAAAAUUAAUGAGGUGCUGGAAGGGCACAAUAUCCCAUGGCCAGCUGUGUGGCCCUUGCAGUUGACAAUGCUAGUGUCAAUCUGGGAAUCAGGGAUUCCAUUAAGAGCAGUGUCCUGGACCAAAAUCCAUCCACCUACAUUGGCCUGGCUGUCCCUGCCACAUUGUGCACAAUAAUGCACACGCUGGUGGCUUGGUGUACUCCGAGGUAAUGGCUUGACAGUCACAACUGCAUUCUGCAUUUGCAAUGUUUUACUGAGUUGGCUACAUUUUACAUUAUGUAAAAUUAUUAAAACUAACCCUCCAGAUGUCAGGCUUUGAUGUUGAAGAUUUCUGUAGCGAACUUGCCUACUGGUGUAAAUCCAGCACUAAGACGAAGAACAUGCUUGAUGGCAAGUUAUCCCCACAUAACACAUUUAUUAUAUUCAAAAGCGGUGAUUCAGAAAUUGUUUGAAGGACCACUCUAAAAUACAUAUUUUGUUCUAUUCAGAAUUCUGCAUGUUUUGUGACACUAAGUACAUAGAGGUACUUCAGCAUUUGAGCAUCAGGUGGAUCAGUUUGGAUCUGGCUGUCAACCCCAUACUCCGCCUCUACAAGGCCCUGACGAGCUAAUUCAGAUCCACUGAGGCAGCACCCAUGCACCUAUCUACUCCAUGGGCAGGUGAGGGCAUUCAUCCGAAAGCCGAUGUCAAAAUUCUUGAAGCCUGCAGCUUUCAGAACAACAAGUUUGGAGAGUGUUGAUUUCAGGAUCAGGAAAACCAACUAGCAGAUCUCCAACUUGGUAUUGGACUGACUACAAAGGCCACAUGAGAUUCCCUCGGGUGACGUCACCAAAUUCUACAAGGCAGCAAGAGGCUUCCUGCUAAAGUCUACAGAGUAUGCAUUGAAGAAGCCACCGCUGAAUGACGUCCUGCUGCCACAUGCUGAGUUUGUGGACCUUAGGCAGAGACAAGACUCGCAUGUGGAUGAUGUGCUGUACUUUGUCCAAAGAUACAAUCACCUUCUUCCUUUUGAGGACCCAAGUGACCAGGAUAGGAUUUCAGAUGAGUUUCUGGAGUACCAGAUGCUGGAGGAAACGGACAUACCUGACACCAUCUGGAAAAGUGCCCUGAUGAGUGUUGGAGAGGAAGACCAAUUCCAUCGUAUGGACAUGGUGUGGGCACAUUUGACUAUGUGGAAGAGCCGAAUAACCGGUAAAGAACAGUUCCCCAGACUUGGGAAGGUGGCACAGCUUGUUCUAUGCCUACUUCACUCUAAUGCGGAUGCAGAACGAGUCUUCUCAACAAUUGGCCUGAACAAAACAGAGUGUAGAAACAGACUUGCAGUAGAUGGGAUGCUGUCGUUCAUUAUGUGUAUCAAAGGUAAUCAGAUUGAACCAUGCUGCUACAAAUACGAACCACCGGUAGAAAUGAUAAUCAAGUCCAAGUCUGCUGCUUAUAGUUGUACUAGGCCAAAACAGACCCUUGUGUGUGUGUGUGUGUGAGCGAAUGUGAGCGAGUGUGUGUGUGAGCGAGUGUGUAGGUGAGAGAAUGAGUGAGUGUUCAUGUAAAUAUUUGGCUGAAUGUGUGAGUGAAAGAGUGUGUGUUCAUGUAUAUAUUUGGUUGAGUGAGUAAGUGUGGUCAUGUGUAGAUUUGGCUGUGCGAGUGUGUGUGUGUGUGUGUGUUCAUGUAUUGGCUAUGUGUCUGGAGUAGGAUAGGUUCUUGUGUUCUUUUGUUUCUUUUUGUUUAUUUCUGGUUCUUGCUACCAUUCUGGUUCUCCUCUUCCUGUAAACCCUUGUUAUUGUCAUGGUUCUGUGUUUCCGUCUCUGUCUUUCCUUGUUGGGCCGCCAGAUGGUGGCACUUCUGUUUUGUGUCCUGCUUGUACCAUGUUUAAUUGUAUUAUUGUUUUCAAUUGUUCAAUUAUUGGUUCUUGGUUGUCUCGUUUUCCCUUCCCUCCCUGUGGCCUGAUUGUGCAUAGUGCCCUGCUGUGUCUCGUCAGUGUCUUGUCUAUUUAAGUUCCCUUCUCCCAGACUCAGGUGCUGGAUCCUUGGUUGUGUUUGGUGAUGUGUACUUUGCCCAUGAUUCUGCCCUGUGUGUUCCUGUCCAUGUUCUGGUUUCCACGUGCUUUUGGAUUUUCUGGAUUUUCUUGGUUUCCUGUGUUUUUUGAAGUUUGUCUUGGUGUUUUUUGAGAGUUGCCCUGCGAGGCCUUUUGUUCCCUUUUGCCCUGAACUUUUAAGUAAAGUCUUUUGUUCAUA